rnacentral:lncRNA from 1 species
AUAAAUAAUCUGGAUAUGCACUCAUCUAGUCAAAUAUAGCUUUUGCAGCAUUGUCCUUUCCAUGCAAUAUUUCAACAUUUUAACCAGUUUGCUCAAGACCAGAGUUACACAAUUUAAUCCAGUUCGAAGCCAAAAUCUGAUACUCUAUCCAAUAAAAUCCCUAGAAGAUAAGAAAAUUAAAGGAAACAGAUAUANCAGAAAAAUUGUUCAAAAUAAAAUCUUCACAAAGUAGGUGCAACUAAACCAUGAAAAUUGAAGAGAUAAGAUGAACAUACCAGGGAGGAUUUGAGUUUGAGGGGUUGGAGACAAAAUGUUUUGUACUGUAGUGAUAGAAAUCGCCUAGUACAUUCCUGGUUUUUUACGAAAGUGCCAAAAUCAUAGAGCCAAAAACAGAGACAAAAUGUAUUGAGUUACAACACUAAGAUUGAACAUCAGUAGAUCGAACAAAG